CCUACGGGAGGCAGCAGUGAGGAAUAUUGGUCAAUGGACGAGAGUCUGAACCAGCCAAGUAGCGUGAAGGAUGACUGCCCAAUGGGUUGUAAACUGCUAGUAUAAAGGAAUAAAACGAGGCACGUGUGCCUUUUUGCAUGUACUUUAUGAAUAAGGAUCGGCUAACUCCGUGCCAGCAGCCGCGGUAAUACGGAGGAUCCGAGCGUUAUCCGGAUUUGUGGGGUUUAAAGGGAGCGUAGAUGGGUUGUUAAGUCGGUUGUGCAAGUUUGCGGCUCACCCGUAAAAUUGCACUUGAUCCUGGCAGUCUUGAGUACAGUUGCGGUAGGCGGAAUUCGUGGUGUAGCGGU
rnacentral:rRNA from 1 species